AGAAAGCCCAAUUCCAUCUGGCCCCUGCAGGUUGGCUCAGCACUGGGGAAUCAGAGUCCCCUCCAUGACCAAGGCACCACUCCACUGACAGACUCUGUUAAUCAGCUUGCUUGGCUGGCCUCCAACCAUAGGUCCAGGGGCUGAGACAAGGUCCUUUUGAGCUCCUAUGUGGGAGGCUCUGGAAAGCUUAGCAACACUUUCCAACAACUUUGCCAGGGUCACAUCUCCCAGGAAGAUCUCACUUCCCCACAGAAGCUCUUGGCCUGGCCUCCUGCAGUGCCACGCUCCGUGUAUUUGACAAGCUGAGUUGGACACUCCAUGUGGUAGAGUGUCAGUUUGUCAAAUACCCCAAGUGCGGCACAUGCUUACCAGCUCUAGGCCAGGGCAGAUGGGAUAUGACGAAUGGACUGCCAGCUGGAUACAAGGAUGCUCACCAAGCACCAAGUUCUCACAAGUUAUUUUAUGUGACUUUGCAGGAACUGAGGCAUUAUAUCUGAGGACACCAGGGGAAAAGUGUGGCAUCUCAGGGAAAUACAGCCCUGGGCUGUGUCUACACACACCAUGAGAGUGCUGAUGGGGGCGCAAUAGUCUUGAAAAUGUAUAAAGUGUCCAGGAAUGGAAGUGCUCUUUGAUUCAUUAUUAUUUUCUUCCUUCAUAUUCCCCUCCCAGAGUCUCCUAUCUAGGACAUCAGCAUUCUCACACAAGCCUAAUGGCUUAUCUGAGUAAGCAGGGCUUAGAAAUUCACUUUCUUGAUACUCAGUCUUGCCUUCUAAACACUCCUUGAUCUUGCCUACCUCUCCCCUUUUCCACAUGUCUUUUCCUGUAGGAACACUUUCUCCAUUUAUUCCUGCCUAUCCAAUUCUUCCCUAUAUUUCCUGGACCAGCUAAAGUCCAGUGUUUCCAGAGACUUUUGAAAGUCAACUUACACUUUUUCCUUCUUCAUUCACAAAGCUCUUCUUCCCUGGGCCCUGGUAUGUAUGCCUUUCUCUCCUACUGUCUAAUAGCACCUCGUAAAUUGUCAAUGAACUUUUCUAAGGGGUAUUCUUGAAUUCCCAACUAGAUUGUGAGCUUCUGGAAGACAAGGCUAUGUCUUUGAUUGUUGUCUCCCCUACCACAGCCCAGUACUUUAGUUACAGAAAAUAAUAAAUAUUUACUGAUUGAUUGACUUUCCUCUUGUCCACUAGCUUUAGGUUUGGGGGCCAAAUUCUACCCUGGAUUUUGAAAAAUUCAAACUGUGAACACCACAAUGUUAUAGAGCAUAUGAGGUAGUAGCCAGCAUGAAGGAUGUUUUCUUCCUGAGAAACAGUGUCAAGGGCUGGAGGAAGAGGGCAAAAUAGCAGACUCAGAGGGCAAAUAAAUUUUGGUAUUACUUGGUCACACAAGGUUAUACAGGUGUUUUCUUGUAGGAUUUUUCAGAGCCUUUAAUAGUCUAAUGUUGCAUUGAGAAUCUCAAAGAGGAAACCAUAGAAUGAGGCAUUUGCCAUACCUAUCUGAUCAUGAAUUUUCUUUUCCCCCACAGCCUUCUCCUGUGUCAAUGUCCAAUGAAGCACGAUUUGGGAAACUGUCCUAGAGAAACUUUAUACCUUCCCGCUCUUCUGGAGAUCUUUUCCUCUUUUCAUUCAUCUACUUUCCCCAACCAGCCAUCUGCCUAAGAAAGGUCACAUGUUAUCAUCUCAUUUUUGUUUAGCCUCUGCAGCUGUGGACUAUCUUUAUUACAUAGGAAUUCUUUACUAGCUUGUCCUGUAUUUAAAAAUAUUCUAAGUUUUGAGGCAAAGAAGAUCCAGAUGCUGCAAUAAAUAUAUGCACUGAGGAGUUCACA